CAGGUCAGCAUACUGCCGUGAAUACGUUCCCGGGCCUUGUACACACCGCCCGUCACACCAUGAGAGUUGGGAAUACCCGAAGCCUGUGAGCUAACUUUUAGAGGCAGCAGUCGAAGGUAGAAUCAAUGAUUGGGGUGAAGUCGUAACAAGGUACC
rnacentral:rRNA from 1 species